CAGCAUGUCUGCAAGGGCUGUGGCUGGCUGCAGCCUCGGGAUCUCCAGCCACAGACAGCAACCUGCAGGCUCUGACAGCAGCGCAGGAAGGCACCGCACAGCUGCCACUCGGCCUUCCCGUGACC